rnacentral:rRNA from 1 species
UACGAAGGGGGCUAGCGUUGCUCGGAAUCACUGGGCGUAAAGCGCACGUAGGCGGGUCGUUAAGUCAGGGGUGAAAUCCUGGAGCUCAACUCCAGAACUGCCCUUGAUACUGGCGAUCUUGAGUUCGGGAGAGGUGAGUGGAACUGCGAGUGUAGAGGUGAAAUUCGUAGAUAUUCGGAAGAACACCAGUGGCGAAGGCGGCUCACUGGCCCGGUACUGACGCUGAGGUGCGAAAGCGUGGGGAGCAAACAGG